UGUGAUAUUCUUUAGAGCACUGAAAAUGUUUACAUUACUUCAAUGUUAAAUGAUAUCUUAAAAUUAAGACAAAAAAAAAUGAUGCAACAUUAAAUCAAUAGGUCAGAAAAGUUGGCAGAACAGUUUGUGUCGAAUUUGUGGUAGUGAAAUUGGUCCAAAAACUAGAAAAAAUCAAAAAAAAGAUAAAUGGAUAAAAUGUGAUAUUUGCAUUCCGAAUAGAUGGUAUCAUAUGGGAUGCAUUGUUUUUAGAAAUGAAACUUUAUUUUGUUGUGAAAAAAUUUAUAUAUAAAUGUAACAAUAAGUGAAACUU
rnacentral:lncRNA from 1 species